UUUCAGGAAAGAUGAUAAAACUCAGAGCUGCCAACUCUCUCGGUUUCGCCGUGAGACACACGCUUCUGCAUGUUUAAACACGCACUCACGCCACACAACCAACUUCUCACGGCAAAAAAAAAAAUUCUGAUUUUGGGCCAAAGCGCGUUCGUUCCAACUCCCCGACGGUAGAUGGCGCUAAGGAGCGCAUCUGUAAGCCUGUUCGCUGCAUAGACAUCCUGUUUACCCCAAAGAGUCCCGGAGUUGGCAACAGAAGAAGAUUUUCAAACAGACACUCAGGAGGAGCAAAGACUAAGGUACGUUAAUGACACGUGGUUCAAUUAAGUACUCACUCUCUUAAGCUUUAAAUCUUCACAGAAAUGAUUACUUGUGUUUGUGCGUGUGACUUUGAGCGGUGAAUGUAAACUCAGCUGUCAUAACCAGCAGCAGGAGAGCACCUUGUUAACCUCUUGGUGUACUGCAUGCUCAAAACAUCAUAGCAUUGUUUAUUAAGGCUGCUCACAUAGCAUUUAUCUUUUUAUUUACGGGCCAAAGAAAAAGACCCCCUCAAGAAUUUUCCAAACAGCACUUUGAACAGGCUGUUUUUUUUUGGAUACCACUGGAACCAGAAGCACUGUCCGGUCUGCCACCACAUCUUCAUCAUCUUCAUCCACCACCACCAAGAGAACCCUCACAUCGGACGUCACAGUGCGCCUUGACUUUGGUUGUGCACAGAAGGGUGGUAGGACAUAUUUUUUUUGGACGAUACUCCUUCUUUUAUACGUUUUUCCAGAUUGAACUCAGUCCUGAGAUCUCAGAGGUUUCCUUUAUUUUUGAUGUUACCUGCUUGGACAUUCUUUUGAUGUGUGGAAUCGUGCAUUUGCUGAAGAAAUGAUUGUCUAAUUGUGUUAUAAAUAUUUGGGGUGGCCAUUUCCUGUUUCCAAUUGAAUACUCAGCAGUUUCCUCAUCGAACCUGGAUUGAAUUUGCAUAUCCCCCUAUAUUCUGUAUAUUCUGCACUGUCUCUAAGCGCCAGUUGCAGGGGAGGGGUUACACAUACAAAAACAUACAUACCUACUCAAGCUUUAACUUAAAAGGUCACGUGAACUUAACAACCGCCAUUUGGUUGCACUGUCCUUUAAUUAUUUAUGAAUCUGCUUUGGCCAAUACUGCAGAUAUGCUGACACAACACAUUGUCCCAUCCAGUACAGUGGUGUGUCGAUCACAGUCUCUGAGUGACAAGUCAAUGUGGAACUGCAAUACUAGCAUGCAUACUGCAUGCAAAUGAGCUGAUUGGCAGUCAAUAUUAGUAUUUAUUAGGGCUGUCAACAUAAACGCAUCAAUCUAUGUGAUUAUUGUGGCCGAGAUUAAUGCAAACAAACGAAGAAACUAAAUAUUUUAACGUUGCUGUUAUGUCGCUGUCCAGGGUCGGAACACGACACCACAAUGCCCAUCCGGUCCCGGGACCAGAAUCAUGGGGGCCUGGAUGAGGGAGCCGUCCAUACUGUCCAUAUCAGGGUUUGACCAUUGGCAGGCCAGGGGCUUUGGGGUGGAUUGGGCUAUGGGGUAAUGCGAGAAGGGGUUGGUCGGGGACAUUGGUGUUGCUGGACCGCCCUGGUUCUGGAGUCUGGUGACGCUGCGCGUCUGGUAUGGAGGUGGCGGUGGUCCCGCUUGUUGAGCUGGUUGAGGUGGGGGAGUUUGGUAGCAUGUGUUCAGGAGAGGACCGCUUGGCCCUGUCAGGGAUGGAUACAGUGGAGAAAACACAAGUGGAUUAUUCUGUGUUUCUAUGUCAGGCUUUUCAGGUUUUAAACACGUCAUUUGCUUCAUCGUUUGUUUUCUCUCCCUGCAUUCACAUUCCAUUUCCCAUUGUGCCAGACAUGUCUGGUUUUUCUCUAUUAUUUCUAAAUCUUUAACUAUGAUCUUUUUACCACUUGCUUCCAAAAGUCCUCGUAACAUUUUAAGUUUAGCGGCACUCAACGAGCCGUUUUUUUGGAAACCCAAACUCUUUUGUCCAGAAUGGGAGACACUCCGUACAUGUUUUCCCGUAUUUCUGCUGCAUCAUUUCCACAAUUGGACCCGAGGGGUCCGUUUGCUUUGCGUUCUGGCCACCCAUCUUUUACUGGCGUUGGACCCAACCGGUUUACUUAUUACAAUACAGUUGUCACCGCAAGGCGUAGUUUCUUUAUACAAGGAAAAACUUUGCGAAAACUCACGUUAGGUUAUUACCACAAUCUUAUUCGAGAGUUAAUUCAGUAGAAUUCACGUUUGGAUAUCACCCCGGUUAUUAUCAAUAUCACAGUUAUUUUAGUAGAAUUCACGUAAUGGGGAAUAACAACGGUCCUAUUUCACCUGGGUAGUCAAGCGAUCUGCGUUACGACCUCAGAGAAUUUGUUCCGAGUGAAAACCUAAUCGUACACAAUCCUAUCUACAUCCGCAUGAAGUGAUGCUUUGGAAAUAUUCCGGAAUCAUGUACAAUACUUCAAAAUAAAAAAAUAAUUCCCCAAACUAUCA